AUUGAACGCUGGCGGCAUGCCUUACACAUGCAAGUCGAACGGCAGCACGGGAGCAAUCCUGGUGGCGAGUGGCGAACGGGUGAGUAAUACAUCGGAACGUGCCCAGUUGUGGGGGAUAGCCCGGCGAAAGCCGGAUUAAUACCGCAUACGACCUAUGGGUGAAAGCGGGGGAUCGCAAGACCUCGCGCAAUUGGAGCGGCCGAUGUCAGAUUAGGUAGUUGGUGGGGUAAAAGCCCACCAAGCCGACGAUCUGUAGCUGGUCUGAGAGGACGACCAGCCACACUGGGACUGAGACACGGCCCAGACUCCUACGGGAGGCAGCAGUGGGGAAUUUUGGACAAUGGGCGCAAGCCUGAUCCAGCCAUGCCGCGUGUGGGAAGAAGGCCUUCGGGUUGUAAACCACUUUGUCAGGGAGAAACGGCUUAGUCUAAUACGCUGAGCUAAUGACGGUACCUGAAGAUAAGCACGGCUAA
rnacentral:rRNA from 1 species